rnacentral:lncRNA from 1 species
AGUUUGAUAAUAACAAUUUAAAAUAUUUUAAAAUUAUUCAAGUUACUUCUCAUUUUUUUUUUUUUUUUUUGUUUCCAUUAUGUAUAAAAAUGUAUAUAUAUAUAUAUAUACCCACACAUUUGUAAAUUUUUUGUUUUAUAAUUUUUACAGAAUUAUAUUUCUAGAUAAAGAAAUUCAGGACAAUAAAAAAACAUUUGCACAUUUUUCUAUCAUUUUUAUAAUUGGGAAUCUAUUAGUUUCUUUGAAUUUAUCUUUACUAAACAUAAACAUAUAUUUUUUUCAGACAUUAUGUACAGUUAGCUAUUCACUAUUCCCAAUGGUAUUUUCUGCUUUUGUUAAUUUGUUUGUGUCCAGUCGAAUGAUUCGGUUUUUAUUUUUUAUCAUGUCUACCACAUGGUCAUCUUAUAAUUGUAUCCUUGUUUUAGGAAAAUUUAUAAAAAGUAAUAAAUUAUUGAUUUCUAUUUUGCCCAUAUGCUUACUACAAUUUUUUCUAACUACAUUGUUAUUAAUUAAAUAAUGUAAAAAUGCAUUUUUGUUUUUUAAUUUUUUUAUCUUUUCCUAAUUUAAUCUUUUGAUAUAUAUAUAUAUUUUUUUUUUUUUAUAUUGUUAAUUUUAAAAAUUGUUUCCAAAACUGUAAUAAUGACUUAAGAAAAUUAUAAAAUCAAUAUUUUACUAAAAAAAAAAAAAAAUUAGUUUACGCAAUUAAUCAAAGCUUUAAUUAUAAGCAAGUUUGUUUAUUUAAUCAUGCUUUGAUCUUAUGCAUCUUUUAAAAAUGUAUAAAAAAUAAAAAAAUAUAUAUAUAUAUAUAUAUAUACA